GGAAUUAUUGUGCCUCAAAUUUUCUUUUUCCAUGAUGAUAAGCAUUUGUAUUUUUUUUCUUCCCUCAAACUGAAUGAAUGCAGUCCAGGAGCUGAUUGAUACAGGCUUUGUUCCCAAGCCUUGUCCAUACUCUUUUGUGUCCUCUUCCUUUUCAAUCAACAUCCAUCAUGUCAUAGUAGGAUAAAGUAAACUCAGAUAAAUAUUAUUUGGAUGAGCUUUGAUUUUCUUUUACUUUGCUAAUCUGAUCAAAUGAUUGUAAUUUUAAAUAUCCAGAGGUUUAAUUGCAUUCCCUGAUCCAUAUGCUAAUAUAUAUUUUAAUUGUAUCAUUAUAGUAAAAAGGAGUCCAUGUGAUGUUUGUGUUAUAUAUAGGUAUUAGAGAGAAGAAGAAAAAUAGUUGAGUUAAACAGAAAUCUGAUUCGACAGUAUUUUACCUCACAGGUAUCAAGUAAUUUUUUGUGUUAGAUUUGAACAUGCAUGAGAAAAAAAAAAACAUUUAAAAAGAGAUAGAUUUGGGGAAUAUCAGAUGAAGUAGCUGGAAAUCUCAAACAGUGAACUUCUGCCUCCUAUGUAAAAGGUAAUUGUUGGGAAUAGUGUAAGAUAUUAUUUUUAAUCUGUGAUCAAUACACUCAGCUGCUAUGGACUCCAAUUAUUUCAAAUUCUAUAUGAAUUGUUGGGGGUUUUUUGCUACUAAAUAUAUUGCUGAGAUUUACAUACCUGUAAUUUUUAGUUUCUGGUUGUGCUGGGUUAAAUGCACAAUGCAAGUUCCAGCUUCCUUAUUAUUGAACAAGUUUCUUGAAUAGUGCAAAAAUACUUUGUACAAGUGACCUCUGCUUGAUUUAACCUGUAACUCCUGUAUUAAACUUUUUUUGUAAACUACAUGUGCCCUUUUAAGAGGCAGAGUUACCAGGACCAGAGCAAACCUGGCACGUACAGGUCUGGGAAUUGCAGUCUGAGAAGUCAGGGACAUAAUCCAUUCCUGACCCUCGUCUGGGUCAACAAACCACUGUUCUGCUUGGAUUGCCUCAGGAAUUAGAUCUUCUGUGAGAACCUGGAGUGCAGGAGCAGGCCAUUAUAUUUUUCCUUCCAAACUAGACCCCUGUCUUACCCAGCAGGUUUCUAUUUGGUCGGGAGGAAGGAUGCCUGUGAUCCGAUGUCUCUGAUCCAUUGCCUGCUCUGUGUUAAUGCAUUUUGUGUUGAGAUUCACUGAGAUGGAGGCAGAGAGCAAAAGGAGCUCUCUUAGAAUGUGUCUUGAGUCUUAUUCUAAAUUGGAUUAAAGGGAAAAUCAUGCUUUUCUCGAA